GAUAAACGCUAGCGGCGUGCCUUAUGCAUGCAAGUCGAACGGUCCUUCCCGCAAGGGAAGGAUAGUGGCGAACGGGUGAGUAACGCGUAAGUAACCAGCCCCUAAGUAGGGGAUAACUCUGAGAAAUUAGAGCUAAUACUGUAUGUGGUGGUGGGGGUAAUGCUUCAUCACUAAAGUCUUAGGGCGCUUAGGGAUGGGCUUGCGUCCGAUUAGCUAGUUGGUAGGGUAAUGGCUUACCAAGGCGAUGAUCGGUAGCUGGUUUGAGAGGACAUCCAGCCACACUGGGAUUGAGAUACGGCCCAGACUCCUACGGGAGGCAGCAGCAAGGAAUUUUGUGCAAUGGGCGAAAGCCUGACACAGCGACGCCGCGUGGGGGAUGAAGGCCUUCGGGUUGUAAACCCCUUUUCUCAGGGAAGAAUAAUGACGGUACCUGGGGAAUAAGUCUUGGCUAACUACGUGCCAGCAGCCGCGGUAAUACGUAGGAGGCGAGCGUUAUCCGGAUUUACUGGGCGUAAAGAGGGCGUAGGCAGUUUUUCAAGUCGAUUGUAAAAUCUCCCGGCUUAACUGGGAGGAGCCAAUCGAUACUGUUAGACUAGAGAGCAGCAGGGGGAGGUGGAAUUCCCGGUGUAGUGGUGAAAUGUGUAGAUAUCGGGAGGAACAUCAGUGGCGAAGGCGGCCUCCUAGGCUGUUUCUGACGCUGAGGUCCGAAAGCGUGGGGAGCAAACAGGAUUAGAUACCCUGGUAGUCCACGCUGUAAACGAUGGACACUAGGUAUGGGGAGUAUCGACCCUCUCUGUGCCGAAGCUAACGCAUUAAGUGUCCCGCCUGGGGAGUACGGCCGCAAGGCUA
rnacentral:rRNA from 1 species